CGGAGGAUCCAAGCGUUAUCCGGAAUCAUUGGGUUUAAAGGGUCCGUAGGCGGUUUUAUAAGUCAGUGGUGAAAUCUGGUCGCCCAACGAUCAAACGGCCAUUGAUACUGUAGAACUUGAAUUACUUGGAAGUAACUAGAAUAUGUAGUGUAGCGGUGAAAUGCUUAGAGAUUACAUGGAAUACCAAUUGCGAAGGCAGGUUACUACAAGUAUAUUGACGCUGAUGGACGAAAGCGUGGGGAGCGAACAGGAUUAGAUACCCUGGUAGUCCACGCCGUAAACGAUGGAUACUAGCUGUUUGGAGCAAUCUGAGUGGCUAAGCGAAAGUGAUAAGUAUCCCACCUGGGGAGUACGCUCGCAAGAGUG
rnacentral:rRNA from 1 species